GAUGAACGCUGGCGGCGUGCCUAAUACAUGCAAGUCGAGCGAACGGACGAGAAGCUUGCUUUUCUGACGUUAGCGGCGGACGGGUGAGUAACACGUGGAUAACCUACCUAUAAGACUGGGAUAACUUCGGGAAACCGGAACUAAUACCGGAUAAUAUUUUGAACCGCAUGGUUCAAUAGUGAAAGACGGUCUUGCUGUCACUUAUAGAUGGAUCCGCGCUGCAUUAGCUAGUUGGUAAGGUAACGGCUUACCAAGGCAACGAUGCAUAGCCGACCUGAGAGGGUGAUCGGCCACACUGGAACUGAGACACGGUCCAGACUCCUACGGGAGGCAGCAGUAGGGAAUCUUACGCAAUGGGCGAAAGCCUGACGGAGCAACGCCGCGUGAGUGAUGAAGGUCUUCGGAUCGUAAAACUCUGUUAUUAGGGAAGAACAAAUGUGUAAGUAACUGUGCACAUCUUGACGGUACCUAAUCAGAAAGCCACGGCUAACUACGUG
rnacentral:rRNA from 1 species